rnacentral:rRNA from 1 species
GAUGAACGCUGGCGGCGUGCCUAAUACAUGCAAGUCGAGCGAACAGAUGAGGAGCUUGCUCCUCUGACGUUAGCGGCGGACGGGUGAGUAACACGUGGAUAACCUACCUAUAAGACUGGGAUAACUUCGGGAAACCGGAGCUAAUACCGGAUAAUAUAUUGAACCGCAUGGUUCAAUAGUGAAAGACGGUUUUGCUGUCACUUAUAGAUGGAUCCGCGCCGCAUUAGCUAGUUGGUAAGGUAACGGCUUACCAAGGCGACGAUGCGUAGCCGACCUGAGAGGGUGAUCGGCCACACUGGAACUGAGACACGGUCCAGACUCCUACGGGAGGCAGCAGUAGGGAAUCUUCCGCAAUGGGCGAAAGCCUGACGGAGCAACGCCGCGUGAGUGAUGAAGGUCUUCGGAUCGUUAAACUCUGUUAUUAGGGAAGAACAAAUGUGUAAGUAACUAUGCACGUCUUGACGGUACCUAAUCAGAAAGCCACGGCUAACUACGUG